rnacentral:lncRNA from 1 species
UACAGAUUCAACAAAUAUUCCUCUUGCAUUUUGGAGGAAAAAAAGCUUAUCUAUGAUAACAUAUUUUUCUCUUUAGAAUACUAAAAUUAUAUUAAUCAAUAAACAAUUUAGAGAGUAGUUCUGGUAAGACAAUGUCAGGUGUCAGACUUAAUUGAAAAAAUUUCAGCCCCUUAGUUUCUUAUAUAGCUAUUAAAGGGAAUAAUUUUAUUCCUUUGGGAUUUCAACUUUUUCAUGGAUAAUUUUCAAAAUAUUUAAUUACAAUAGUUUCUACAUUUCUUCCAAAAUUAUUACAUAUUUCAGUACAUCUUACUGUUAAAGAUCUUUUAUACUUUUUAUUUUUUUUUCCUAUUGUACUUUUUACUGGUCUCUCCAAUUCUUAAAUACCAUCACCAAAAAGUUUUUGUGGCUACUGUUUUACAGUUAGCUUUACAGAAAACCAUAUGGCUGGUUUGUUCUCUUCAGAAAUUCCUAGUGGGUAUUGCUUUCCUUUCCCCAACUGUUUGCUUUUAUAUGGAUUUGUAGCAAAAAUAUGAGUAAACAAUAAUCAUCUAACCAGUCAUUUUCUGUCUGGUUCAUUGUUAUAGAAGUGAAUUACAUUAAGAUUGAAAAAUACUGAACACAUAUGAUUUGCUUCUUACGUCAAUCUUUCUGGGACCCAGAUUAAAUAGGAGUAUUUCAGUGUUAUCAUAGAGGUGACAGUGAUUUGAA